rfam:Ailuropoda melanoleuca scaffold2498_8, whole genome shotgun sequence.
CCAAAGGCCCUUUUCAGGGCCACCCAACUGUUCAAAAAAGGGCUGU